UUGCUGAAUCAUAGAGCUCUAAUCUGGCUCACUUUCCUCUAUCAUAGAUCACAGGAGCAGGGACACAUCCCAUCAAAGCUCGCAGGGACACAUCCCAUCAGAGCUCGCAGGGACCCAUCCUGUCAGAGCUCACAGGGACCCAUCCCAUCAGAGCUCAUAGGAGCAGGAACACGUCCCAUCAGAGCUCACAGGAGCAGGAACACUUCCCGUCAGAGCUCACAGGAGCAGGAACACGUCCCAUCAGAGCUCACAGGAGCAGGAACACGUCCCGUCAGAGCUCACAGGAGCAGGAACACGUCCCAUCAGAGCUCACAGGAGCAGGAACACAUCCCGUCAGAGCUCACAGGAGCAGGAACACGUCCCAUCAGAGCUCAUAGGAGCAGGAACACAUCCCGUCAGAGCUCACAGGAGCAGGAACACGUCCCAUCAGAGCUCACAGGAGCAGGAACACUUCCCAUCAGAGCUCACAGGAGCAGGAACACGUCCCAUCAGAGCUCACAGGAGCAGGAACACGUCCCAUCAGAGCUCACAGGAGCAGGGACAUGUCCCGUCAGUCAUGAAGCAUCUCACAAGGGUGAGAUUCAGGUCCUGCUGAACAACUUGCAGCAGGAGAUGAAGUACAUGCAGGGGCAGCUCAAUACCAGGAUAUCAUCCCUGCGCAGAGGGUGGGCAUCCCUACCACCCUCCCAACAGUCAGCGUCCCUGCGACCAAUGCAAUGCUCCAACACCAUCUCCAAUCACCACCAUGGUGGGACCAACGUGGAAUGAUGGAGUGAAUACCACAUGUGGAGAUUUCUACUGCAAGAGAAAGGGUAAUUUAAGCUUUCUUUUAUGAGUAAGGAAAUUGCUACUCCCGAGUGGUGAAGCGGUCUAAGGCACUGCAUCUCAGUGCUAGAGGCGUCACUACAGACACCCUGGUUCGAAUCCAGGCUGUAUCACAACCGGCCGUGAUUGGGAGUCCCAUAGGGCGGCGCACAAUAGUGUCGUCCGGGUUUGGCCGGUGUAGGCCGUCAUCGUAAAUGAGAAUUUGUUCUUAACUGACUUGCCUAGUUAAAUAAAGGUUAAAUAAAAAUACAUAAAAAAUGUAAUUAGUGGUUGUUCUGUAUGGUGACAUGAGUAGAGUGGACUG
rnacentral:lncRNA from 1 species